UUGGCAACAAGUAUGAGGUACUGUUUUAUUAUUACAAAGAAAGAGUAAACUGGAACUAUUUCAGAAACUUUUGGGAUAAUGGGUUUUCAGAUAACAGAUCCCAUACCUGUAGUAGUAGUAGUAGUAGUAGUAGUAGUAGUAGUAGUAGUAGUAGUAGUAGUAGCAGCAGCAGCAGCAGCAGCAGCAGCAGCAGUAGUAGUAGUAUUACAACACUCAUAUAACCAAAACACAUUGGUGGGACUGAAAACUUUUGCAAAGAGCAAAGGUUCCCUUUUUAGUAAUAGAAUUACAUCUAUUUUCCUCCAUAUUUUAUUAUGGAUUGGUCUUACUUGCAAAACAUUAUUUUACUUAUCUACAUUACAAUAUUUGCCUUUAUCUUCAUUGAUAUUUCUUUCCCCUCAGGCAGUGUUUGCAGUGUUGACAUACAUGUGGAUUGGCAAACUGAUCAAAUACUGUGUAUAACUAACAACAGUGUGGCCCCAUCCUGCUCUGGAUUGGCAGAUGUACUGAGAGUCUUUGAGAUUUUCUAUUUUGGUCAAUCAGCAACAGAAUGUGAUCUUUCUCACUGGGGCCCCAAUACAGAAUGAUGUUUAUCUAAUUCAGUGGCAAGGGACUGUAUUGAAUGACCUAGUUACUGUAUGUCAGGUGUUUUUAUCUUAGAACACCUCAUCCUGAGCCAUGGUUAGAUUAGCUUUCCUCAAAUGUAGUGUCUCUGUUGAUAUAUAUCAAAUGAGACUGUAUUAAGGUUUCCAUUUACUUGAACAUAUAAUAGGCUCUCUGUUUGACAUCAGAAAUCCAAAAGAUCCCUAUUUCUGGUUAAACUUCUACUAAAAAAAGAUAUGAAAUGUUUUUGUUUCUCUUGGACGUUUUGGUUACAAAAGUCAGUUGUGGCAUUUGUGAAAACUUUUACGAUGGUGACUUGCAGCAGAUUACAAUAGGAAUUGAGAAUCUUCUUCUAAAAUAAGUCAGUUUGUUACUAAGCCUUGGGUAAACUUACUUUUUCUAUGGCAUCCUAUGUAACGUUCUACCCAUAAGUUGUCUACAUUAUCAUUGACCUCUGUGAUUAAAUAAUCAUUUAAAACUUAACACCAUUUGUAUUUUUCCACACCAUCCAAGUCAGUUAUUCCUUUAAAUUGAUGUUUUAUAUUCAAGCGUUCAAUUCUCAAAUCAGUCCGUGAUGACAUUUACAAUCUAAUUUAAUUAUGACGAUAAGCAGGAGUCAUUUAAAUUGCCUUUAUGUUUUAGGUAGUUGCUUACCUGGAGGAACCCCAUGCAAAUACAGGAAGAAGAUACAAACUCCUUAGAUAGUGUCCGGUUUGAUAAAGAUGAUAGUGUCCAGUUCGUAAUCGAAUCCAGAAGCCCAGCACUUCAAGGCAAAGAGAGACCUGAGCCACAAUGAUACCUUGCAAAGCCAUACAUGGAAUAGCUUCAUUUUCCAAAUUUACCCUGUUAAACUCAAGAAAUAACAAAAAAUACCACACAUGUUCCUGAUGGAAACAAUAGGCAAAUGUAUGUUCAGUAAAACCCUAUGCAUUGCAAUUGUGUUUAACGUGGUGGUAUACUACUCCUUUACAGGAAACAUUUAGAGCCAGUUGGUACCUACUUAACAAGAUAUUUUUGCAAAAGGGUUUUUUUCCAAAUUGGUAAUCCCUCUAUUAACAUGCAUUGUGUUAAUUUAAAUCCAAUAGUUUAAUUUUCAGGGAUUAAAGGUUCUGUGGUGUGUUAGACUCCAGCAAAAUAUAUUACAAAUGAUUGAAAGACUACUAUAGUUUAUAUGCUGUGUAACCAUGGGGUCAGCUAUUCAAGCUGCAAAAAAAGGAGAAAAAAUAAGUAUAUAAUGUUAUAAAAGAUCAUGAAGCUACUACUCUGUCGAUGGCAGUGAAAGGGUCAAUUUGGCUCUUUAGCAUCAAUGUCCACCUUGAGAAAUGAUUCUGCUGUGGGCGACUGUUCUCAAGACAUUGUAUUGAUCUAAUGCUUUCUCAGCCUCCCUGGAGCUAGAGAGAGGACGGAUAAAAUGGAUGGAACGAGUGUGCCACAUCAGGAACCAUUCAGCAAUAUAUCUCUCACAAUUACUAUAGAGCAGGGAGCAGCGUGUGUACGUGAAUAAAUAUUUCUGAUAUUCAACAGAUGAAACAGCUUUAAAUCAUGUGUUCUGCCAAAAUACGCUACUUAGAGAUAAUAUUGUUAUAUUAAUCAUGGAUUUAUGUUUAUGCCCUAAAACGAAAUUCCUUAGCACAUUUCUUUUAUAAUGGAUUUAGCUUUAACAUGAAUAACCAUGACUGAGAACAACAGGUAUAUAAGCAAAGUUUUCUCACUUUUUUCAGAGCUAAACAUAUGGGUUUAUUUGUUAGAAUUCAGUUAUCUUCUCAUGGGGCCUAUUCACACAAGUCACUUUUGUAGCUCGCAAAAGAAAUAAAAAUACAUUUAACAUAUGAUCUAUAUAUUUGAUUUUGAUGCUUGGUUUACUGUAUGGUGAUUAUUUUAUUUCUUAAUUAUAAAAAACAACAGAGUAGAACAGACUAAUGGCAACAUGGUAGCACAGUAGUAAGCAUUUCUGUCUUGAAAUAUAGAGGGGUUUCAUACCAACCAGGGCACUGUUUCAGGGAGUUUCUAUAUUCAGCCUUGCUUUCUUGCAUUUUCUCCAGUUUAUACAGACCCUAGAGUGUGUAUAUCAAAAUUCCUGUAGCAGUGAUUAAGGAGUGAUUAAACAUUUUCUGCAGGACGUAAAUUAAAAAAAUAGCAGUUUAUAGUAGAGGGACUAAUGUAGUUGUCUUCAAGCAUAGUGUCAGAGACACAGGGAUUCCCAAAGGAAGAGCCCAAAAGUUUGCAUGCAAAGCAUUGUAUGUAUCAUGUUCUAUCAGAUCGUGAAAACAUAUAUCUUUGAAUACCAGAGCACACUUGUUUCUGUAAGGUCAGUGUGCAGACUGGUGCUAUUGUCCUGCUAAAGCAUGUAUUUAUUUUUCUGGAACUGGAUACCUAUUAUUUCUGACAACACAGGUGCACCAUUCAAUUCUUUUCUUACUUUUCUAGGACCAAUGUUAUUGUUAAAAACAAACAAAAAAAACCAGCCUGUAUUAAUUCACAGUUAAAGGAUAUUGACAGCAGACAGUGGCCAUAUCCCACCCACCCCCAACUAAGAAAAAUCUUACCUCCAAGUGUUUACAUUGUUCUGAAAACAUCAAUACUUAUAUAGUCCAAUUUGAUGUAAAUCCUUUUAAUGACCUAGAGGUGAUACCCUAUGCAUGUGACUGCUGUUUGUACCCUUUGGAAAAUAAGCCUCAAAAUGUAACUGUAAUAUAAUGAAACUAAUUCAAUAGCACUUCAAGAUCUAAGGGGUUCCUCUGCAUUUUGGAAGCUCUGAUCUUUAUUUUUUUUUCAUUCAUUCAUUCAUUCAUUCAUUCAGGGAACAUGGUAAUAUGGUUAACAAUAGAUUGCAACCUGUGUCAUUAGAUUUGUGGAGCACAAUUAUUAUAAAUUAUAUUGAAUUUCUUCCUAGAUUGCUUGGAACUUGUCCGUUUCCAGCUAACGGGUCUUUCUGUAAUGUGGAGCUCAAUGCCUCCUAGCUUCAAUAAAUCAAUAUUAAAAAAAAACAAAAAAACAAUGUAAUUGUUUUCAAUGUGGAUAUAUAAUAGAUUAGUUAACAUCAAGUAUAAGCUGUCCAAAGGAUGAACUGUUUAUUUGGAUAUGUCAUUAUGAAAAAUUGCAGUGCCGUAUAUCUGAAUUUUCUGGAUCACAGGUUUCCAAUAUUUGGUUCCAUACACAUAUUAUUAUUAUUAAUGAUAAUAAUGAUUAAUGUUUUUAAAAUGCCAACAUAUUUUGAAAUCCAACUCCAUAGCAAUUCAGUGAAAGUGGUUUUAAUAUAUUAAAAGGCCACUAUGCCAUUUAUUCUCUGAUUAAUUUCUUCAUGCUUUUAAGAGUUACUUUUCUUAAAUGAUAAUUUGAACCCAUCCCAUAACUUGUUAAAAUUCCUUUCUCUGCUGCUGUAACCUUUUUUAUAUGCUAAUUCUAAAGGGGCAACAUUGUUUGUUAUGCAAUAAAAAAAAUGAUGCCUUGCUGCUUGUGUAUGUCUACUUUGUUUACUGCUGACUUCUCAGCCACCGCCAAAUAAAUACACCUUUUUAAAAGGCAUGAAUUAUCUCCUUGAAUUUACAAUGCAUAACAAACAAUUGCAUAACAAAAGGGAGGAAGGGAGGAAAUUCAUUCAGGUAACACAUAAGGUUAAGGUAACACAUAAGAACAGCCUUUUUAUUGUUUUGAGAAGGAGUUUAAACAUGCCUAUUAAGACUUGAUAUAGCAUUUUGAAAAAAAUAUUUUAAUUUAUGUACUAUUGAUACUAUUCAUUAGGCCCAACUGCAAGUCGCAAAGCAUCCAAUUUGGCAUGUUAUAUUGGCAUGGGAUCUAAUAUUUUGAAAUCUGUGCAAGAAAUUCAGUCAACUAUAAUUCUUCCUAGCUAUGAAGGAUUUGAAAUAUAUAUUUGAAUAUAUAUGCACACUUUUCAUUACUUGUAUUUCCCUCUUCAUUGCAGGGGGAGCAUCUGAAUAUAACUUGCAAGCAUCCUGUCAUGUCUUAAAGGUGAUUUCUCUUUCUGCCAGGAAAGAAAAGGAAUUGAUCAAAACACAGCUGCAUCGAAGAUCUCGGGUCUUUAAAAGGUGCCACAAUGCUUGGGAGUAUCUGCCUGUACUUGAAUACAAAGGGUUAUAAUUAAACAAGACAGAUAUCAUAUGGAUGCUAAUUCGACAUAAAUGGAAAACAACUGCUUAAAAAUAAAGUUUGCGGGUUUUAGGCCAAUUCAGCCAUUGUCUAAAUGUAAGAAGUUUUGUAAAUUACAAAGGGAUUUAUUUAUUAAAGUUAAUUUACAUUUCAUCUAACUGCAGUUGCCCAUUAGUGAAAACACUUUUUAAUCUACACGGACAAUUCAGAUAUGUUUGUUUAGUGAACACAUGUAUAAUUUAUUAAUAUUGGUUGCAAAAAGUGGGCAGACGCUGGUUAACAUUUCAAAUGAAAAACAAGCCUUUCAUGCAUGCAUAGAAAAAGUACCAAUAAAACCACCGUAUACUGUGUAUGCAGAUGGCCAAAUGACGUCUAUGUUAUUCAGCACUACAUCAUGAGGACUCUAUGGAUUCUCUGUCUCUAACUCUGGUUCUGUAGCAGUGUAAUUACCAAUAUUAUUAUAAUUAUUGUUCAAUGUAUGGCUAGCAGCGUUGGACUGGGCCUGCUGGACACAAGGAAAAACCCGGUGGGCCCCUGCCCCCAUGGGCCCUGCUAAACCAGGUCCGCUUCCUCGAAGGGGGAGGGAGGUUAAAAAAACACAGUAAUUACUGCAUGUAGGAGUGGAGAGAGAGUGGACGGUGGGCCCUUGAUUUCACGACGCCCCAGUCAGACAAUUAGUCUGCUGAAAAUAUCUGAUUGGUUGUUAUUAUUAACUAUAAUGGUACAGUUUAGCACCUAUGUUAGUAAAUUAGCCCUCAAGCUAACUACCAAUCAGUGCUUAGCUUCUUUCAGUCAGCUGCAGGCACAACAACGAAAGCAAACAUAUGAUUGGGUGCCAGUUUGCAAAUUGCUUAUAAAUAACUUAAUUCUAUACCCAUACCUUCUUUUCAUAGCAUACCUAUCUUUUUUCCAUUAGCCUUUUCAUUUCUUGCUCUUUUGAUACAAUUUUGCCUUAUUUUAUCUUCUGUGUUAGAAUGUCCAAACUGUAUUCUACUCUGCUAACUGUAACCUACUCCCCUACUUCAUAUAACCUAUUAGUAAGACUUCUCGAUAGCAUACUGCAGCAUCUGCUUUCUGUAGACUGUUAUGGUUCCUCCACCACUUCCUCCCUAUAACAUUCCCUUCUCUUACCUAUCCUUUUCUAAAUGGCAAUACAGCAGGGCCCCUUUGUGAUAUUGCCCAACUUUCAGCACUCCAGUUGUUGUUAAACAGCAGCUCCCAGAAUCCUAGCUUAAGCAUUGCAGUUUGAAUAUGCCUGUUGUAUAUACUGAAAAUGUCAAAAGGCUGGCAAACAUUAUACAACCUAUGUAUUCCUUUGUACUUUUGUCUAUGGGUUUCCCCUUAAGGCACCUCUCUGAUGAUGGGAACAAAUGCCGUCUGUGCCCUUACUAAGACCAGCCCUGUCUGAAGAACAUGCGAGUAUGCACUGCUGUGACACAACUUACACAUUUUUCAUUUAAAAGCUACAUAAAUAAUUUAUUUAGCUCAUUUCCACUUAAUACAUAUCCCACAUACUGUUCUGUGGUUUUACCCCACUUGCAGUUUCUCUGUUUGUUGUGUGGCUCAUUUCGGCCUGCGUUUAAAUGGUUACAUAUGACAGGAGUUGAGCAAUGCCUAUGAACGGAAGGUGUUUAUCAUACCAGAUUGGGCACACUUCCUCUCCUUUGAUAACAAACAAUCCAAACACACACUUGUAUGUCCAUUAUAUGUAAUUAGCUUUAUGAUUAGACAAAUUCCGUAUGAAAAAAAUGUUUAUUUCACAUUAUCAUUUCCUAUGCAGUCUACUGUCUAGGCCUUUUUUUGGUGACAUCAAUAAUUAUAUCCAGCUGUUUUUUACAGAUCAUCAUCAACACAUUUUUUUUUCUCCAAAUAAGUUUUCUUGUUUCUCUAUGAAAAAUAAUAAGUAAUGAGUAAAGAUUAUUCACAUAUGUUGGAUACCUUAUUUCUUAAAAGGGAAAAUAAACUCCCUUAAAGUAAUUGCUUUUUUUGAGGCCAGACCAUUUCCCUCUCCCUCUACAUAUUUCUGUUUGGACAUGAGUGAGAGCUUCCAUAUUGCACCAUAUUUUAAAUUACUCUAGAUUUAAUUAGCUUUUUUUUGGCCAUCCAUGUACAUUUUUAUAUCAAACUGAAAACACAACAACAGCAUUUAAUUCUGUUUGUUUCAACAGUACAA